GCCGGGGGACCCGCCUGGCCUCGCCCCUGGGCGGCCCGCGUCGUGACCCCUAAAUUCUGCCCCGUUGGUUUCCAAAACUGUUACUAUGGGGACCCUCCAGGGAGCCACGCGCGCUGAAUCCUUAAGGUGCCUCUUGGCUGUAUGCUGACUGCGGUUUAACUCCCGGUUAAACACAUUGCCCAGCUCGUUAUAGUUUAACACCUUCCUAUCCGUGUAGGAAACGUCCAGACCCAUAGAGGAUUUUCCUGAGCUUACGUGAGCCAAACUGUCGACAAGUGCGGGCAGCAAAAUUUCAACAAGUUGACAUCAUGUUCCAGGAUGAAGACCAUGAAGCCGUUGGCCCAGAGCAUGAGCGCGAAACACAGAACAUCAGGGGACAUUAACAACACUACAUAUAAGUCUUGGUUUUUCCUGUGAUGAACAGAAGAACAGUAUCCAAAAUUUUUUACACUUGUGAUGUUCUUGUUGCCCAAACUGCUAGACAUAACUAUAGGAGCAAUAACAUUUACCAGCAUUUGCAGGAUCCAGUACAAGAAAAUCAAAGGGGUGACGUAUUUGGGAGCUUUCACUUUAAGCUCUGCCCACCUGGAGUUCAUGGGGCUGAUGGUGAUGGCCUGGAAGAUGCUGAGGAGGCAGGUGGUGCCAAUGGACACACCCCUGCUCACUUGCCGAACAUAGGGGAAAAAUUUACAUCCAAAAUCACUGAGAUGGCCAUACCACCCAAAAGAUGUCAUCAUAUAGUGGAUUCCGCUAGAGAACAGAACCAAGGAGUUGGCCACAGUCAGGUUGUUGACAAUCAAAUCUGUGGGCCUCAGCCUGCACCCAGUGAAAUAAAGGAAGAGAUAAUGGUAAAGCAGAGAGAAAUUCCCCAGGACUCCAAUAACAGUGUGUAGUAAGAAGACUGUUCCUACGACCAGAUCCCUGGUGGCCAUGCUGUCUGUUCUCAGUGACCGAUAUUUUCUUCUGAGCUAGAGACGACCCUGCAUGGGAAUAUGAGGCAUAAGCCACAUGCAUCAUGUCAGCUGAACCCCAAUAUUCUCCACUUACCAGCAGUUCUUACUGAAAUACUGACUUAAAGUUUUUCUGUCAUCUAGAAGCCUCUAAAAGUUGAAUGUGUAACCAUUAAAGAACACUUUCAAAGUA